rnacentral:rRNA from 1 species
UACAGAGGUGGCAAGCGUUGUUCGGAAUUACUGGGCGUAAAGGGCGCGUAGGCGGUCUUGUAAGUCUUGUGUGAAAUCCCUCGGCUUAACUGAGGAACUGCACGAGAUACUGCGAGACUUGAGAUCGGGAGAGGGAAGCGGAAUUCCGGGUGUAGCGGUGAAAUGCGUAGAUAUCCGGAGGAACACCGGUGGCGAAGGCGGCUUCCUGGACCAGCACUGACACUGAGGCACGAAAGCGUGGGGAGCAAACAGG